rnacentral:rRNA from 1 species
UACGUAGGGUGCGAGCGUUGUCCGGAAUUACUGGGCGUAAAGGGCGCGUAGGCGGAAUGGCAAGUCGGUCGUGAAAUCCUUCGGCUCAACCGAAGAACGUCGAUCGAAACUGCCGUUCUUGAGGAUUGCAGAGGAGACUGGAAUUCCCGGUGUAGCGGUGAAAUGUGUAGAGAUCGGGAGGAACACCGGUGGCGAAGGCGGGUCUCUGGGCAAUUCCUGACGCUGAGGCGCGAAAGCGUGGGGAGCAAACGGG